rnacentral:rRNA from 1 species
CGGCAGCUACACAUGCAGUCGAACGCCCAGCAAUGGGAGUGGCAGACGGGUGAGUAACACGUGGGAAUCUUCCUCGUAGUACGGAACAACUCAGGGAAACUUGAGCUAAUACCGUAUACGCCCUUCGGGGGAAAGAUUUAUCGCUAUGAGAUGAGCCCGCGUCCGAUUAGCUAGUUGGUGAGGUAACGGCUCACCAAGGCUACGAUCGGUAGCUGGUCUGAGAGGAUGAUCAGCCACAUUGGGACUGAGACACGGCCCAAACUCCUACGGGAGGCAGCAGUGGGGAAUAUUGGACAAUGGGGGCAACCCUGAUCCAGCCAUGCCGCGUGAGUGAAGAAGGCCUUCGGGUUGUAAAGCUCUUUCGGCCGGGAAGAAAUCGUAUGGGCUAAUACCCUGUGCGGAUGACGGUACCGGCAUAAGAAGCACCGGCUAACUACGUGCCAGCAGCCGCGGUAAUACGUAGGGUGCGAGCGUUAAUCGGAAUUACUGGGCGUAAAGCGUGCGCAGGCGGUUUUGUAAGACAGGCGUGAAAUCCCCGGGCUCAACCUGGGAACUGCGUUUGUGACUGCAAGGCUAGAGUACGGCAGAGGGGGGUGGAAUUCCACGUGUAGCAGUGAAAUGCGUAGAGAUGUGGAGGAACACCAAUGGCGAAGGCAGCCCCCUGGGUCGAUACUGACGCUCAUGCACGAAAGCGUGGGUAGCAAACAGGAUUAGAUACCCUGGUAGUCCACGCCCUAAACGAUGUCAACUAGUGUUG